GAUGAACGCUAGCGGCAGGCCUAAUACAUGCAAGUCGGACGGGAUUUGGGAGCUUGCUCCCAAUGAGAGUGGCGCACGGGUGCGUAACACGUAUGUAACCUACCUUAGUCAGGGGGAUAGCCUCUCGAAAGAGAGAUUAAGACCGCAUAAAAUCACAGUAUAGCAUUAUACAAUGAUCAAAUAUUUAUAGGACUAAGAUGGGCAUGCGGAACAUUAGCUAGUUGGUGAGGUAAC
rnacentral:rRNA from 1 species